UCCCCAGGCAGCGGGACGAAUGGCAGAGCCCGCCGGGGAGCUGAGAAUUUUGGCAUUUUGCUUUGGUGCCCACCAAAGGGGGACGUGUCCCCCGGGACGCUGCACAGGCAGGGAAAACUUGCAAGGGGAACAAGUGGCGUUGGAGGCAAGCAGAACAUUUUGAAGGCAGCAGCUCAAGAAUGCCAAGAGCAAGAUCCCUUCGCGUACCCGAGCCGGGGGAACCUCAGCAUUUGGAGCCCGCCCUCUAAGCUCAGCCCCACGUCCACCUGCAGCACCCGUGCCCGGUGUCACCGAAGGGAGGCAGGGAAGAGCCCCAGGUCCCUGCCCGCUGGAGGGCCGGUGAGCAGCCCAGAGCACGCCGAAUGCCCGGAGGAGAUGGUGCAGGAGCGGUGGAAUGUGCAAACGGGAGCUGGUGCCGUGCAAGUGCUGACCGCGGUUUGACUCCGCUGCGUGCCCAAGUCGGGGAUUGAGGUGUUGAGCUGUGAAACGCCCUUCCGAAAAGGAAAUUUCCAGGCUGGCUUUACUGCAGAAAUUCGCUCCCAGCUUCUCCUUCAGGGACAUUUCCAAAGGCCUUUCGUUUUGAUUUCUGACUUUCUUCCCUUUCAGCUGUCAUCCACAGCAUUAUGCAAACGUUUACAAGGGAAAGCAUUGCCAACAAAGUGGAGGAUCUGCCGGAGCACCGAGGGCUCGGCGCUCUCAGCGCGGCCACCUUCCUCUUCCUCAGCCCGGCAGGGGCUCUUAGAGGGACCCGGGACUCUUGGGUAAAGCAAGAAAACCGCCCACCUGCUCCCCCAACACCUCUACCUCCCUUCCCCUCUGCAGCCCCGCUUCCAGAGCUCCUCCAGCCCCGCUCCCCGCUCAGAGGGUGAUGGCAGGGCAAGGGCUGUGGAGCCCACCAGGGUGCGAGGUGCCCACCGAGGUCCGAUUUUGUUCCAGUCCCCCUGGGACCGCAACCCAGGGUCCCACUUGCAUGGAGCGCACAGCGGCGCGGUGUUCCCGAGGCUCCCAGCCACACGCUUGUUUCUCAGGUGUUAAAACUUUGAGCGUUAUUUAAGACUUUUGCCAAAUCCCCUUCCCUGAAUCUGCGUCCCCUUCUUCCCGCACAGCUGCAGCGUGCCGAGGAACCUGCCCCGAGCCUGCUGCGGGCUCCUGUUAAACAAGCUUGCACCUACUUACUGGCUUUUUCAAUAGGAAACAGCUUUCCUUGGCUCCGUUGCAGGGAAGCUCUCCCCAGCUCCCCUCUUAGGCGUGCUCCUGUCCCUCCAAACACACCAAAAAAAAAAAGGCAGGAAGAGAAAACUUAGAGAAAAACUGCCCCCUGCUCCAUCUCCCCCAGCUCUCCCUGCUCCAAGCGCAGGCUCAUCAAAGGAGUGGGGACCCCAGCCCCUUCCCUAGGGUUCAGUCGGGCUCGGGGGGCUCCAAUAAAUGGCACCAGCCCCCCCCACCCCUCCUUGUGCACCCAUGGGGACCAACCUGGGGGCUCUGUCUCAUUGCUGUGGCUGCAGCCUCCCAGAAAAUUUGAAGGCUAUGCAUUUCUGGGGUUUUCUCUCUUGUCUGCUGGUCCUGAGAGCAGAAGGGGCCGGCCAGAAGCCCCCAGCCUCCUGUCCUCCCCCUGGAACAACCCCUGAAUGGUUUCCAGAGGGCUGGGAGCUGUUUGCACCCAAGCUGCAAGAGCCCACAGCCGACAAAAGGCGCUGGGAAGAAGGGAGCGGGGACUUUGCAGAGCUGGGGGCGAGCAAAGGGAGGCUUUAGGGACCAGCAAGGAGGCUGUAAAGCACGAGGAGGCCGAGGCGUGGAGAAGAGUGCCAUGGGAGGCCGCGCUGUGCUGCCCAAAGGAAGCAGUGGGAGGAAGCCUGCCCUUGACCUUCCCUGGCCUC